rfam:Selaginella moellendorffii unplaced genomic scaffold SELMOscaffold_63, whole genome shotgun sequence.
GCGUUAGUAGUCCAACGGUCAGGAUAAUUGCCUUCCAAGCAAUAGACCCGGGUUCGACUCCCGGCUAACGCA